rnacentral:rRNA from 1 species
UACGAAGGGGGCUAGCGUUGUUCGGAAUUACUGGGCGUAAAGCGCAUGUAGGCGGCAACGCAAGUCGGGCGUGAAAUCCCACGGCUCAACCGUGGAAGUGCACUCGAAACUGCGUAGCUAGAGUCCUGGAGAGGAAGGUGGAAUGCUUGGUGUAGAGGUGAAAUUCGUAGAUAUCAAGCGGAACACCGGUGGCGAAGGCGGCCUUCUGGACAGUGACUGACGCUGAGAUGCGAAAGCGUGGGGAGCAAACAGG